GUCUUCGUGGUGUAGUGGUCAGCUCGCUGGGCGCGUAUUCCAGAGGUCCGUGGUUCGAGUCCUGGCGAAUGCG
rfam:Stegodyphus mimosarum contig5968, whole genome shotgun sequence.